GACGAACGCUGGCGGCGUGCUUAACACAUGCAAGUCGAACGGAAAGGCCCUGCUUUUGUGGGGUGCUCGAGUGGCGAACGGGUGAGUAACACGUGAGUAACCUGCCCUUGACUUUGGGAUAACUUCAGGAAACUGGGGCUAAUACCGGAUAGGAGCUCCUGCUGCAUGGUGGGGGUUGGAAAGUUUCGGCGGUUGGGGAUGGACUCGCGGCUUAUCAGCUUGUUGGUGGGGUAGUGGCUUACCAAGGCUUUGACGGGUAGCCGGCCUGAGAGGGUGACCGGCCACAUUGGGACUGAGAUACGGCCCAGACUCCUACGUGAGGCAGCAGUGGGGAAUAUUGCACAAUGAGCGGAAGCCUGAUGCAGCAACGCCGCGUGCGGGAUGACGGCCUUCGGGUUGUAAACCGCUUUCGCCUGUGACGAAGCGUGAGUGACGGUAAUGGGUAAAGAAGCACCGGCUAACUACGUG
rnacentral:rRNA from 1 species